CUACGGGUCGCUGCAGUGGGGAAUAUUGGACAAUGGGGGAAACCCUGAUCCAGCAAUGCCGCGUGUGUGAAGAAGGCCUGCGGGUUGUAAAGCACUUUCGGUUGGGAGGACUGCUUCUAGCACUAAUAUUGUUGGAAGUUGACGUUACCUUCAGAAGAAGCACCGGCUAACUCCGUGCCAGCAGCCGCGGUAAUACGGAGGGUGCAAGCGUUAAUCGGAAUUACUGGGCGUAAAGCGCGCGUAGGCGGCUAGAUCAGUCGGGUAUGAAAGCCCCGGGCUUAACCUGGGAACUGCAUCCGAUACUGUCUAGCUUGAGUACAGGAGAGGAGAGUGGAAUUCCACAUGUAGCGGUGAAAUGCGUAGAUAUGUGGAGGAACACCAAUGGCGAAGGCAGCUCUCUGGCCUGAUACUGACGCUGAGGUGCGAAAGCGUGGGAGCAAACAGGAUUAGAUACCCUGGUAGUC
rnacentral:rRNA from 1 species